AGGGAAGCUGACCAAUGUGCCCACACCUCGCUGGCUGAGCUGGGUGGUUUGUGGCUUCCCCACGCUCAGGAAUUUUGGUCUCCCCCCAGCUCCUGUGCCAAAGAUGGUCUCCAUGGCCUCAUCUUCAUCUUCUCCCAUAAGGAUCCCUCUCCCUGGCACUGUGAGCAACAGAGAGCCUGGAUAAUCUGGUGCCCUCUCAGCGAUGGGUCCAGCACGUGGGACAGCACCAGAAUCAUCUGGAUGAGUCCCCAGGGACACAGAGCUGCUGUUGGCAGCCAGCCACCUCUUCCCCCACUGCUCCUGGGCCACGUGGACACUGCUUCUCCAAUUUCCCAGCUGAAGGGGAAGUGCCACAGCAGUGCUGGGUGCAGAGGAGCAGCCUUGUGACCAUGACACAUCUCGUGAGUCAGCUCCAGGGGAGAGCAGGAUGGGUUUGCAGGAGGAUUUCAGCUCCACGGGAGCUGGACACCAGUGGAGAGCAGGGAUUAGAUCAUGGAGACGUGAUCCCACUCUGGCUGCACUUAUUCUCCACGGUGCUGACUAAUGUGUGCUAAAGGAUCCAGCAGGAAUCCUGGCCCCAGUGUGUGCUUUUCCAUGGCGUCCCAGCCUUGUGGGCACCACCACAAAGCACCGGAGUGUCCCAGGGACUUGGCAGUGAUUUCUCAUCCUCGGUCUCCUCGCUGGACACCUUGGCCCAUUUCCCUUCCUGAGGUUCCUCACCUGCUGCCAGGGAUGUCUUUGAGACCUGCAGGUCACAGCCUCUGUGCCAUUCCCACCAGCCCUCCCUGGGGGAAAUAUCUUCUGUUCAUGGGCCAUUGAGUGAUAAAAUUCCAUCAUCCCACUGGGAGAAGCUCCGCCCAGGGGGAGGAGCCAAGCAUUCCUUCCUGGAUAUAAUCGGACAGGCGGAGCACCACAGCACCUUUCCCACUGCAUUCCCAAAGGGAGAGCAGACCAGCCUACACCACCACUGGAUCUUCAGAGGAGAACUCCACCCUUCUACAGGAUCACUGCUCCAGCAGAGCCACCCCUGUCUCUGCAGGAGGGCUGCAGCCACCAUUUAAUGGGACUGCUACCAACAGCCUGGCACACAGGGACUCAGGCCAUAUCCUGACUCUGUCACUGUUGGUUCUUGUUGUUUGUACUAUUACAUUUGUAUUCUUAUUUUUCCUACUAAAGAACUGUUAUUCCUGCUCCCA